rnacentral:lncRNA from 1 species
AGGGUACUCAUUAUUUUGCCAUUGCUACAGGCCCUCAUCAAACCCUUCCAGGUGACUGGUCAUGUCCAAUUCACAAGACUGUCCCUAAGGUAAUAUUCCUAAAGCCCGUGUAUGUAAAUGUUUAGGGUGGUGGGUUGGGAGUAUGCUUGUCUUAUCCAACCAGAUAACACCCAAGUAUCUGAUAGAUAAUCCUGGUCCUGGUGUUUUGUCUGUAUUCACCAGCCAUCCCUUGUGCAGUCAGAUGAGCCACAGGCAUGGGGCUGUUACUUUUAAACUGGAAAGAGACUCUGAGGUUAACAGGAUAUCAUCAAUGUGAUGAAAGAAAAAGACCACUCUCAUGGCGGUCAGCUGCCACAGGGCCCCACGUGCUAGCCUUCCACAACCUGUCUUUAUUUCCCAACAUCUUGGGUGCUCAUGGGAAUUUCCUUAGUCUGCUGACUGGCUCACCAAUUGUUGGAGGGCACCUCAUGGGCCAGCAAGAGCAAAGGGAAAGAACAGAUCCUCCCCCAGAGCCUUCUGUGGGAACAUGGCUCUGCUGACAAUUGAUUCCAGGCUUCUAGCCUCCAGAAUGUCAGCGAAUACACGUCUGUUGUGUUCAGCCACCCAGCCUUUCUAGUGCCUGGGUGUGAUCACGGAGUCUCCAUGGGGCAUUUACAAAAACCGACCCCUUCAGGGCUUUGGGGCCUGAAGGCAGGACUCCCAUGAACACUUGCCACAUCAUACGGCCCCACAGUGUUCCCAACAGAUCAGGUGUAUUAGGAAAACCCCACAGGGUGGCCCCUCAAGACAGCAGUCACCUCCCAGUUUGUGGCUGAGUUCUGCAGGUUCUGAGUGUGACACCCCUCAUGGAAGACCAAGGCCCCAUCCUGAGUUUCCUUGGGAGACGUCACCAAGACCAAGCCAGCCCUUCUUGGUUUUCCUGGAAGUUCCCGUCUUGGCACAGUGGUUAAAGAAUCCGACUAAGAACCAUGAACUUUCAGGUUUGAUUCCUGCCCUUGCUCAGUGGGUUAACGAUCCGGCGUUGCCAUGAGCUGUGGUGUGGGUCACAGACGUGGCUUGGAUCCCGAGUUGCUGUGGCUCUGGCGUAGGCCAGUGGCUACAGCUCCGAUUAGACCCCUAGCCUGGGAACCUCCAUAUGCCGCGGGAGUGACCCAAGAAAUGG